rnacentral:rRNA from 1 species
CCUACGGGUGGCUGCUGUGGGGAAUAUUGGACAAUGGGGGGAACCCUGAUCCAGCCAUGCCGCGUGUGUGAAGAAGGCCCUCGGGUUGUAAAGCACUUUCAGUGAGGAAGAACGCCUGGUGGUUAAUACCCAUCAGGAAAGACAUCACUCACAGAAGAAGCACCGGCUAACUCCGUGCCAGCAGCCGCGGUAAUACGGAGGGUGCGAGCGUUAAUCGGAAUUACUGGGCGUAAAGCGCGCGUAGGUGGCUUGAUAAGCCGGUUGUGAAAGCCCCGGGCUCAACCUGGGAACGGCAUCCGGAACUGUCAAGCUAGAGUGCAGGAGAGGAAGGUAGAAUUCCCGGUGUAGUGGUGAAAUGCGUAGAGAUCGGGAGGAAUACCAGUGGCGAAGGCGGCCUUCUGGACUGACACUGACACUGAGGUGCGAAAGCGUGGGUAGCAAACAGGAUUAGAUACCCCUGUAGUC